CUGAGGUCUGUGGCCGCUAAGACGUUUCCAAGUGACUUAUUUUUUUUUUACGAAGAUGGGAAUAGGAUUUGCUACGAGGAGCUUCUAUUUGUUCGUUCUUUUCAGACUCUACAGUUGCGCAUCCAUUCAUUCAGGCGACACCUCCAGAAUGGAUAUUGCCAGUACUCGAAGUGAUGGACUGACAACAUUUGGAGUUGAACUUUUUACUUCAGGAGAUUAUGAGGCUGAAACUGAUUAUCGGGUUUCCCCUACUGCUUCAGAGCAACCAAAUAACUCUUCAACAAUGCCUUCAGAACAGCCAACUAUUCAUCCUACUGCCAUGAACACCACACAAAAUGAAAGCAAUCCCUGCCUGGACAGUCAUCAGAACUUCUGUAUAUCUGGAACCUGCCAGUAUCAUAUGGACCUAAAAACUAUAUCUUGCAAGUGCUAUCCGGGUUUCGAGGGUGAGAGAUGCCACUCCAUCAGCAUGGAGUUGUUAAGAAGACGCACCAAACCUUAUGAUCUGACGACGGUGAUAGUACCGGUGGUCCUCUCCAUCUCAUGCCUGGCUGUCUUCAUUCUCUUGCUGGUGAUAAGAACAGAACAGUCAUGUCACCACAACUGUUUAGGACACCACGGACUUGCAGCUCACCUACUAUAUAUCUAAACUUUCAGACAUCAAAGCAAACCGAAGCUACAUGAAGACUGUGAAGAAAAAAAUCAUCUUCAAAUGACCCCAGUCCUCGAGCUGUGAAACAAUUGGGGGGAAAGGACAGAAACCAGAAACUCUACCUCAGACUAGAAGAUGGAAAAGGGAAUUCCACAUCAUCUGGGGAGGUGUGGCCAGACACGUUGCCUGAGUCAAGUCACAGGAAAAAGAAGGGAAGACAGAUGCUGAAGAGAGGACUGAACUGGAACCAUAACAAGGGCCACACAGGGACGCGUGCUGCUGUCCUCGGUCUGGGGGAUGGGGUGUUGUUGUGACCUUGGAGUCUACAGCUCCGACCUCGGACGUCGAACCCCGAAAAACAUUAGGACACGCAACAGGCCGAAAGCCGGCACUUACACCUGGAACUGCUGUUUGUAAAGUGGGGAUGCCCCAGUCAGCUUGGCGUUAUGUGUUGUUGGUGCAUGGACAUUCGUCACCUUGAGCCUAAUGGAAGUGAAGAUUUUGCCCAUCACCUAUUACCCAUCUUGGAUAUGUUGCAGACACUCAAAAACAAGCGUCCGUAUGACCACCAUACGAAACAGUUACACACAAGCCAUAAUUGCUCUUUGUUGCAAGAUCAUUGUACUUCUUAUAAGCUUGUGUUUGUCCCCCAAUGCUUCAAUUCCAGUAGCGGUGUGUUGCAUUUGCCAUUCAAUCCAGGCUAUUGCUGCCAUACUUGUAUUACGUUUCUGUAUUACUUCCUGCCUUUAAUUUAUUUUUCUAUUUAACUAUUUAUUUUGUAUUUAUUGUGUGAAUGUACAUGUAUAUUUAUUUCUCUGGUUUGUGAUGCGCACAGUGAGAGAAUGCAAUUGUGUGUAACUGUGAGAGAAUGCAAUUUCAUCACCACACACAGGAAAUUCACUGUAAUAUUAUGACUGAUAAUAAAUACGUCAAGA